rnacentral:rRNA from 1 species
AUUGAACGCUGGCGGCAUGCCUUACACAUGCAAGUCGAACGGCAGCACGGGAGCAAUCCUGGUGGCGAGUGGCGAACGGGUGAGUAAUAUAUCGGAACGUGCCCAGUCGGGGGGGAUAACGUAGCGAAAGCUACGCUAAUACCGCAUACGAUCUAUGGAUGAAAGCGGGGGAUCGCAAGACCUCGCGCGAUUGGAGCGGCCGAUAUCAGAUUAGGUAGUUGGUGAGGUAAAGGCUCACCAAGCCGACGAUCUGUAGCUGGUCUGAGAGGACGACCAGCCACACGGGGACUGAGACACGGCCCAGACUCCUACGGGAGGCAGCAGUGGGGAAUUUUGGACAAUGGGCGCAAGCCUGAUCCAGCAAUGCCGCGUGCAGGAUGAAGGCCUUCGGGUUGUAAACUGCUUUUGUACGGAACGAAACGGCGAGCUCUAAUACAGUUUGCUAAUGACGGUACCGUAAGAAUAAGCACCGGCUAACUACGUGCCAGCCGCCGCAGUAA